ACUUUCUUCACCCACAGAACCUUCUCAAAGAGGCAGCUCAGGCGGUCUCUCUUUCUUCCUUUGGCCUAAUUCAGGCCCAUCCUGUUCAUCUUGGCUGGGAGUGCCCGCCUGCUCCUGAAGUCAGACCUGUCAGCCAAGCCUGCACCCACGCCUUCCUGCUCUGCUGGGGAUAAAAAAGGGAAGCAGUGCCCCACUCGGCAGGGGGAGGGCGUCCACAGACAGCACUGCUUUUCAGAAAUGCAGCUCCUCUCCCCUGUCUUUCUCCGUCCUUGACAGGGGCUGCGGUUGGGGGCUCACUGGGCUCUGCUAUCCCGGGAGCCUCACAGACUGACUCCCGCCCGCUUUCAAGUAUUCUGCCCUGAGCUCCCUUCCCCACCACACCUCCCCGCCUCCAGACGGUAGAAGCAGGGAGGAAAGUCACAGCCAGGAAAAGUUGGAAUCAAGACAUUAAGAAGACGAAAAUCCCUAUAGGCGUCCGAGGUGUCGGGCCUCAGGGCAGCGCCUGGGUAUUCAGGGCUGUACGAAGUGUGAGAAAGGAAGUGGUCAAGGACAGGAUCCGAGAGUCCCGCCCAGGAGCACCAGCAGCCCUGGGAGCAGGCCAGCCGGGGAGGAUGCCUCUUUCCCCUCCCCCACACUUUCAUCUUGGUAGGCUCUUCCAUAUACACAGCAGGGCGGAGAAGCCGGAGGAGGAGGUAUUUGGGUGAGGGGGUUGUCUCCUUUCCUUGGGAUCCUCAGCAAGUGAGUAGUGAGUUAAAAUAAUACCUGUCUUAACACAGUUGGGAAUUCCAGGGAAGGUUGGUCCACCACCUCCUGUCUCCCCUAUCCCUCAAAAGGCCGACAGCAAAGGGGAGUGACUUCGGGGGCAGGCGGGCCCUCCCAGCCAGCAUGCAAUGGCCUAGGACCAGACUUGGGGGGGCGGGGCCCAGAGCACCUGUGGCAGAUCCCCAUCCAACCAUAUUCAACCCCCUCCAGUCCCAACAUGGGGCCCAAUCCUGCUUGCCUUCCUAAAUAUCACGGCAACUCGCAGCCACGGUGGGAUUUCGGAGCAGGUGGCUGGCCCUUUAUCCUUUUCCUACUUUUGGCCAGUACAGCAGCCCCUUAUCUCACUGCCGAGGCUGGCUGCGUGCGUUGACUGGGUGAGAGGGCAGAUAAGAGGCAACAGAAAUGACCUUCCAGAAAGAGACUGAGUCUUCUGCAGUAGUAGGGAAAGAUGGGGGGGGCGGGCCCUGGACCAAGGAGACAUCCGCACCAACUCAGACUUCUGUUCAUUUGCUCUGAGACGCUGGGGACACCCUAUAGCCAUCUCCUCCAGAUGGCCCCAGUCUUUUAGGCACUCCCAGAUUCUGUCCCACCGAAGGCCCGCUUAGCUUAUGGAGGGAGGAUGCAAGUGUGAAGCCCUAGAAAUCAUCCUGCUCUUCCUGAAUCUGAGACUGUCAGCCACCCCUCCCCCGGCCCCCCGACCUUUGCUUCCCCGGAUGUGGACUCAGAAUCUCCCCGCAGUCCCAUGGCCUGGUCUUUCUGCACCCUCCUCCUACCCUGGUAUCUCUGUAGCCAUCUGCAGGGCCUGCUUCAGCCCAGCUGUGGCAGGAAGGUUGGGGGAGGGGGACAAGGACAAACCAGCCAUUGUCACCCACAUCCGUGGACCCUAGCUCUGGGGUGAGUCUAAGUGCCACACAGAGGGCAAUUGCUGGCCCUCUGUGGGCAUGCUGGGCAGGCUCCAAAGGUCCCUACCAAUGUCUCAGGCUCAGGGGUGCGGGGUGGGGGUGGGGCAAGAUGUCAGAAGCCUCUUCCAGCUCUGGAAUUCUCCGAGUAUGGGGGGAAAGGGGUGGGGGUGGGGGACUGCUAAGGACCUUUGUUCUU